rnacentral:rRNA from 1 species
GACGAACGCUGGCGGCGUGCUUAACACAUGCCAGUCGAACGGAAAGGCCCUGCUUUUGUGGUGUGCUCGAGUGGCGAACGGGUGAGUAACACGUGAGUAACCUGCCCUUGACUUUGGGAUAACUUCAGGAAACUGGGGCUAAUACCGGAUAGGAGCUCCUGCUGCAUGGUGGGGGUUGGAAAGUUUCGGCGGUUGGGGAUGGACUCGCGGCUUAUCAGCUUGUUGGUGGGGUAGUGGCUUACCAAGGCUUUGACGGGUAGCCGGCCUGAGAGGGUGACCGGCCACAUUGGGACUGAGAUACGGCCCAGACUCCUACGGGAGGCAGCAGUGGGGAAUAUUGCACCAUGGGCGGAAGCCUGAUGCGGCAACGCCGCGUGCGGGAUGACGGCCUUCGGGUUGUAAACCGCUUUCGCCUGUGACGAAGCGUGAGUGACGGUAAUGGGUAAAGAAGCACCGGCUAACUACGUG